rnacentral:misc_RNA from 1 species
UUACAUACGCGUCAGAGUUUGCCUUUUUCACAUGAAAUAUUUUGUUGUUUAUUGAUGUAUCAUGACACGCUUACUCACAAUACAAGUGGUACUUGACCGACUGUCGUCGCCAUCGAAACAGGAAGUAUUUGCAGCGCUUAAAACGGACCAGAUUAUUCUAAAAGCCUUAGUUACGAGACGUACAGAGCAGAGCAGAGUCAAGACAUGUUCCUUACUUGCAAGCCAGAGCCCAGAGUCACCCUGCAACAACAGACUUAUUAGUGUUCAGUCGUCAUUCACAUUGCAAUUUUAAGCCAAGGAGUCUACAAAGUUUGAUGCUGUUUGCAGAUUAAGUCCUGAAGGUAAACAUCUGAUGAUGGAUUCCACAGGGAACGAGCGGAUGUCAGUGCUUCUGUCAAAAUACAUCGAAUGGGCUUUCAUGGUGACACAAGAAGAGCUUCCUGUGGAACAUAAUACAAAGGGUGGACUGGUAGUACACGGGGAGGUGUCUGAACGGACACAAGUAUCGUCAGGAAUCCCACAGGGAGCCGUUCUUGGAACAAUACUGUUUGGAAUGUUGUAAACGAUCUUCCGGAUAGGGUGAGCUGGUUUAUAUUCCUAUUCUUAUGACACCGAAAUAUUUUAAAUCAUUGAGAAAGACAAGGACAAGUCAAUGCUAAAAUACGAUUCGGACAGUAUGGCAGAAUGGAGCCAAAACUGGCUGUUACAAGUACACCCAUAAAAAAUGCAAACACAUGCAUAUUGGAAUACUUACAAAGGAAGAAUCCAAGUAAUAUUUUAUCAAUUAAGUACUUUUGGCACAAACGGAAUCAGAGAAAGAUAUCGGCAUCACAAUAGAUUCUAAUCUCUCAUUUGAAGACAAUUUAAGCGAAAAAGUAAUCAAGGCCAAUUUCAUGUUUGCUAUGCUGAGAAUUUUUGCCACGUACUGUAUAUCAAACACUGGUUAGAACUCACCUCGAUUUUGCCAGCUCGGCUUUUGGUCACCAUUAAAAAUCAAGGACGUAGAAAAGUUGGAAGGUGUCCAGAGGAGGUCAACAAAACAAUUACCAGGAAUGAAGGAUCUUACAUCCACAGAAAGAUUAGCCGAAGUUACCAACACUCGCCUGUAGACGGAUCAGGGGAGAUAUAUGUUAGGAGGAUAUUAAGAUAAUAAACGACAUAUACAUAUACAUGAUCGGGAAAUCAACAGCACCCUAAAGUAACGGGAUAAUGUGACAGCAAGGAACAGGGGAAUAGGAAACUUGAAAAAGUAUUUCCACAACGGACAAGGACUAGUGAGUGUAUGUUAUGGCGUAGAGCAAAUCAUUUUUCGGAGUGUAUGCUUACAGAGGGUCGAGCGUCCGAGGCGCGUAACGCCGGAGGAAGGGGAGGUUAUGGGAGGGAUCAUAGCUGAAAAACACCUACUAGGUCCUAGAAGCAUGGACUUAGAUAGCUAAUCUAAUUCUGUUUUAAAAGCAAUUUCCCGUGUUCUGGGAACUCCUUUUAGACUGAUUAUUAACAAGUAAAACCCAACUUUUCAUAUGAAUGAUAUUAAAUUUUGUACUUCUUUAAAAAAAGAAUUCAUUUACAUAUACCUUCGUGAUUUGUCAAUGUGUC